rnacentral:rRNA from 1 species
GAAACAUCUUAGUACCCGGAGGAAGAGAAAGAAAAUUCGAUUCCCUUAGUAGCGGCGAGCGAAACGGGAAGAGCCCAAACCAACAAGCUUGCUUGUUGGGGUUGUAGGACACUCUAUACGGAGUUACAAAGGACGACAUUAGACGAAUCAUCUGGAAAGAUGAAUCAAAGAAGGUAAUAAUCCUGUAGUCGAAAAUGUUGUCUCUCUUGAGUGGAUCCUGAGUACGACGGAGCACGUGAAAUUCCGUCGGAAUCUGGGAGGACCAUCUCCUAAGGCUAAAUACUCUCUAGUGACCGAUAGUGAACCAGUACCGUGAGGGAAAGGUGAAAAGCACCCCGGAAGGGGAGUGAAAUAGAACCUGAAACCGUGUGCUUACAAGUAGUCAGAGCCCGUUAAUGGGUGAUGGCGUGCCUUUUGUAGAAUGAACCGGCGAGUUACGAUUUGAUGCAAGGUUAAGCAGUAAAUGUGGAGCCGUAGCGAAAGCGAGUCUGAAUAGGGCGUUUAGUAUUUGGUCGUAGACCCGAAACCAGGUGAUCUACCCUUGGUCAGGUUGAAGUUCAGGUAACACUGAAUGGAGGACCGAACCGACUUACGUUGAAAAGUGAGCGGAUGAACUGAGGGUAGCGGAGAAAUUCCAAUCGAACCUGGAGAUAGCUGGUUCUCUCCGAAAUAGCUUUAGGGCUAGCCUCAAGUGAUGAUUAUUGGAGGUAGAGCACUGUUUGGACGAGGGGCCCCUCUCGGGUUACCGAAUUCAGACAAACUCCGAAUGCCAAUUAAUUUAACUUGGGAGUCAGAACAUGGGUGAUAAGGU